UNCGGAUUUAUUGGGCGUAAAGGGAGCGCNGGCGGUUUAGUAAGUCUGAAGUUAAAGGCAUUGGCUCAACCAANGUAUGCUUUGGAAACUGUUAGACUUGAGUGCAGAAGGGGAGAGUGGAAUUCCAUGUGUAGCGGUGAAAUGCGUAGAUAUAUGGAGGAACACCGGUGGCGAAAGCGGCUCUCUGGUCUGUCACUGACGCUGAGGCUCGAAAGCGUGGGUAGCGAACAGGAUUAGAUACCCUGGUAGUCCACGCCGUAAACACUGAGUGCUAGGUGUUAGGUCCUUUCCGGGACUUAGUGCCGACGCUAACGCAUUAAGCACUCCGCCUGGGGAGUACGACCGCAAGGUUGAAACUCAAAGGAAUUGACGGGGGCCCGCACAAGCGGUGGAGCAUAUGGUUUAAUUCGAAGCAACGCGAAGAACCUUACCAGGUCUUGACAUCCCGAUGCCCGCUCUAGAGAUAGAGUUUUUCUUCGGAACAUCGGAGACAGGUGGUGCAUGGUUGUCGUCAGCUCGUGUCGUGAGAUGUUGGGUUAAGUCCCGCAACGAGCGCAACCCUUAUUGUUGGUUGCCAUCAUUAAGUUGGGCACUCUAGCGAGACUGCCGGUAAUAAACCGGAGGAAGGUGGGGAUGACGUCAAAUCAUCAUGCCCCUUAUGACCUGGGCUACACACGUGCUACAAUGGUUGGUACAACGAGUCGCAAGCCGGUGACGGCAAGCUAAUCUCUGAAAGCCAAUCUCAGUUCGGAUUGCAGGCUGCAACUCGCCUACAUGAAGUCGGAAUCGCUAGUAAUCGCGGAUCAGCACGCCGCGGUGAAUACGUUCCCGGGCCUUGUACACACCGCCCGUCACACCACGAGAGUUUGUAACACCCAAAGUCGGUGAGGUAACCAUUUAUG
rnacentral:rRNA from 1 species